AGGAUUUCAUAAACAUAGCAAUCACUUUGUGCUCUCCAAACCGACUGUGAACUGUGUUCGCCUGCACAGAAACAAAGGGGGAAGGCAGCUGUUUGUAGCAGCUUUUUUGGGAAGUUCAUCAGAAAAGAGGCUCUUUCAGAAAACAUGGAUCUCUUGUCUGGAAGUCCAGAAAUGUUGUCGUUCCCCCCUAGCAGCAACCUCUGGAGCUGUCGGUGUUUCUUUGUGUGGAACAGAGAUUGAGAGCUGAAGAAAGAUGAUAGCUGCUUCCUUGUGUCUAUGUGCACCUUUCUUCACUCUUGCCCCACUGCUUGUUGGGUUUUUCAUCCUCAUUAAGAAGGAGAAGUAUGAGUUUAGACUCAGUGGACAUUUCUGUUUGUUAGAAACGAUGCUACUGGUUGUUUGGAUGCUGGAGUUAAUAUCUCUACCAAGGAUAAACACAGGAUGAAAGAAAACGGAGAGCAGCUGGCAGAGACUCAACAGACUCCUCCACCCUGUCCCUGCAGAGAAUAUUUUCUUAGGCUUUGUAGCUUGGUUCUCAGUAACGUUAAGUUCCAUUUAAGAAGGAUGUAGAAACACGUAGUAUAUAUUUUUUGAAGUCAAAGCAAACAUUGAAGAACAAAUUGUGAAAUUUCAUUUGGCAGAAGGAGGUUGCAUCAUUGGCUUUUCUCUCAGCCUCAGGAGGUUUCAUAACAUCUGAAGACAUCAUCAUGAGUGUGAGAAAGUUGACAUUUAAGAAAGAGCCUAAGAAUGCAAAAAAAUGAUUAACCAUUAGAUGUCAAGGCUGUGAAGGAUUGCACCAAGGAUCAGUGACUGCUUAAGGAAGUAACUAUCGUGCACAAGCUGAAAUAUGUAUUACAUCCUAUAAAAAGACAGCCCCUACAUGCUCCCUAUAUGCUCCUCUGUGCGGAGGAGUACCCAGGCACUCUCACAUUUCAAGACUUUAGGAACUUGCACUGCCUGGGAUCAUAGAACAGAAUCAUAGAAUCAUUGAGGUUGGAAAAGACUUUUGAGAUCAUGCAGUCCAACUGUCAACCCAACCCCACCAUGCCUACUAAAUCAUGUCCCUAAGGGUAUGAACCCCUUGAGGGAUGGAGAUUUCAUCACUGCCCUUGGUAGCCUCUUCCAGUGCUUCACCACUCUUUUGGUAAGAAAGUUUUUCCGAAUAUCCAAUCUAAACCUCCCUGGCACAACUUGAGGCCAUUUCUUCUCAUCCCGUCACUUGUCACUUGGGAGAAGAGAUGAACACCCACCUCACUCCAACCUCCUUUCAGAGAGCUCUGGAGAGUGAUGAGGUCUCCCCUCAGUCUCCUCUUCUCCAGAUUAAUAAACCCAGGUCCCUCAGCUGCUCCCCACAUUGCCUGUACUCCAGACCCUUCCCCAGCUCUGUCCCCUUCUCUGGACAUGUUUCAGCCCCUCAAUAUCCUUCUUGUACUGAGGGGCCCAAAACUGAACCCAGGAUUCAAGGUGAGGCCUCACCAGUGUCAACUACAGGGGAGCAAUCUCUUCCCUGCUCCUGCUGGCCACACCAUUGCUGAUCCAAGCCAGGAUGCUGUUGACCCUCUUGGCCACCAGGGCCACUGCUGGCUCGUGUUCAGCUGCUGUCAACUAGCACCCUCAGGUCCUUUGCUGUCAGUCAGCUUUCCAGCCACUCUUCUCCAAGCCUGGAGCAUUGCACAGGGUUGUUGUGUCUGAAGUGCAGGACCCAGCACUUGGCCGUGUUGAACUCCAUACAGCUGACCUUGGUCCAUCAAUCCAGUCUGUACAGAUCCCUCUGCAAAGCCUUCCUGCCUUCAAACAGGUCAGCUCUCCUGCCCCACUUGGCACUCAAUGCUGUCAUCCAGAUCAUGGGUAAAGAUAUUAAACAGAAUUGGUCCAAGCACUGAGCCCUUGGGACAACGCUUUUGACCGGCUACAAACUGAAUUUAACUCCAUUCACCAGGACUCUCUGGCCACCCAGUCAGUUUUUUACCCAGCAAAAAGUACACUUGUCUAAGUUAUGCCAGCUUGCCAGCUUCUCUAGGAUGAUGCUGUGGGAGACAGUGUCAAAGGCUUUAUUGAAGUCAACGUAACUAACAUCCACAGCCUUUCCCUCAUCCACUGGGUGGGUCACCUGGUCAUAGGAGAUCAGGUUGGUCAGGAAGGACCUGAUUUUCAUGAACACAUGCUGGCUAAGCCUGAUCCUCUAGCUGUCCUGUACAUGCCGUAUGGUGGCACCCAGGAUGAUCUCGUCCACAACAUUUCCUGGCACCAAGGUCAUGCUGAUAGUUCCUCAGAUCCUCCUUCCAGACCUUCCUGCAGAUGGGCAACACAUUGGCAAGCCUCCAGUCAACUGGGGUCUCUCCUGUUGAUAAGUGAUGGAGAGUGUCUUGGCAAAGUCCUCCGCCAGCUCCCUCAGUAGUCUUGGGUGGAUCUUGGUGUCUUUGAAGGGCUACCCACAAGCAGAAGAGGAAAGACACAGAUGACCUAGUGUGUGAAACUGGGAUUAUUUUAUUCCUAAGUACAAAAUGUGCAUUUAUCACAUUGGCUUUCUUCUGCCAUUUUGUUUCUCAGUGAUGUAAUAUCAAGAGGUCCUACUGUAAAACUUUAUAGUUGACUUCAGUUUGACUGUCCCAAACAGUUCUGUGUUUUCAGAAGCUGUUAUCGUAUCGCCAUGAUACUUUUAUCUAAUUUGCUUAUGAAUAUGUUGAACCACUCAGUUCUUGAUGAUACCUUUCUACUCUCAUGAAAAAAAUCAGUUUAUUCCCUAAGUGUAAAUCCCAUUUGCAAGUGUUUCCCAUAUAAACUUAAAUAUUACAUAGAAUAUACUUUUCUAGCUUUUUUUUCAUGGAGGUAAUUGUAUGUAUUUAUAAAGGUACAUAUACAUAUACGUGUGUAUAUGUAUGUGUAUAGGUAUACCUGCUUUAAAGAGAAGUAUUUUAAUUUGCUUGAUUGACAGUUUUAUGAUGCUGUUUGAAAGAAAGAGCAGUCAUAACUCCAUUAUAAGAUCUAUAUCUCUAGCAAAUGAUCUGCUAAUGCUGAUAACAUAAAAAAUAAAGACAAUAUAGCUUAAUUUUUCUGUGAAAAUAUAUACUUCUGGAUCAAUGGUGCUGUAAUGUGAAGCCUGUUUAUUCUCAUUUGUGUGAUAUUUGGCAGAGGGGUGGCAUCCUUUUGCCAAUGUUUUCUCUUUUACUGGCUUUAGAAAAUUCACACAGUUUGUGAAUGAGGUGUGAAGCAGUUCUGACUGAACCCAGGAAACAGCAGACCUUCCUCUCACGAGACUUGGCAAAAGGACGUCUAACUGAGGUUACACGCUGAAAAAACAUUGCUUAAUUUUAUCUGUAACAAGAAUUCAAGGGGAAACAAUUGACUAGAACAUUAACAUGGCUGACUUGAGUGCUUACUGUCCUUUUAUGCAGACAUGCAGCCUUUCACGUGUCUUUUUUUCCCUUUUUUUUUACCAACAGAAGUUUUAUUUGAGAUGAGGAAAGCAAAGUAAGGAAAAAUGGCCUCUUCUCUAUGACUUCCAAUCAUAAAUCUCAAACAAAAAUGAAGGCUUCCCUGUACACCUCAGACCUCAGCAGAUGUGCUGCAAUUUGGCAGUCUCAGAUUCAUGUCAUUCUUGCCUGGCUUUUAGAAAUUAUUGUUCAUUAAUGAGAUUAAAGGACCCAUUCAGAACAGUUCUUGUAAA